UUAGCAUGGAAUAAUAAAAUAGGACGUGCGGUUCUAUUUCGUUGGUUUCUAGGACCGCCGUAAUGAUUAAUAGGGACAGUCGGGGGCAUCAGUAUUCAAUUGUCAGAGGUGAAAUUCUUGGAUUUAUUGAAGACUAACUACUGCGAAAGCAUUUGCCAAGGAUGUUUUCAUUAAUCAGGAACGAAAGUUAGGGGAUCGAAGACGAUCAGAUACCGUCGUAGUCUUAACCAUAAACUAUGCCGACUAGGGAUCGGACGAUGUUAUUUUUUGACUCGUUCGGCACCUUACGAGAAAUCAAAGUGUUUGGGCUCCAGGGGGAGUAUGGUCGCAAGGCUGAAACUUAAAGAAAUUGACGGAGGGGCACCACCAGGGGUGGAGCCUGCGGCUUAAUUUGACUCAACACGGGGAAACUCACCAGGUCCAGACACAAUGAGGAUUGACAGAUUGAGAGCUCUUUCUUGAUUUUGUGGGUGGUGGUGCAUGGCCGUUCUUAGUUGGUGGAGUGAUUUGUCUGCUUAAUUGCGAUAACGAACGAGACCUUAACCUGCUAAAUAGCCCGUAUUGCUUUGGCAGUACGCUGGCUUCUUAGAGGGACUAUCGGCUCAAGCCGAUGGAAGUUUGAGGCAAUAACAGGUCUGUGAUGCCCUUAGAUGUUCUGGGCCGCACGCGCGCUACACUGACGGAGCCAGCGAGUACUUCCUUGUCCGAAAGGUCCGGGUAAUCUUGUUAACCUCCGUCGUGCUGGGGAUAGAGCAUUGCAAU
rnacentral:rRNA from 1 species